GACAACUUGGAACAGCUUGUGUGUGCCUCUCAGAUUCCUACAGAAGAAAGGAUACCUUUUCUUUUUUAUUGGAUGGACAACAACAUAACCACAACAAUAGAUCUAUCAGUUCUGCGCCGGUUGGACGGCGUUCAGGCGCAACCCCGGCACCCACUGAGUACUGCCUCUGCUACAACCUCCCUCGGUGAGCUCCAUCUUCCUCCCGCUUCUCUGCUUCGGCUACUGUAUGGGGCAUGGCCGUGGCUAUGUUAUGUGGUGCUCGUCUGGUUGAUGCUCUAUGUCCUACUCAUGCAUCAGUUCCUACUUGAGCUCUGUAGUUGUGGAUCCAUGCUAUUCUAGGGUUUGCAUGCUGCUGUUCAUGUUUACUUGCUAUCAUAGGAGCUCAUGUGCUUCUCUGGUUUACAUGUGGAUGCCCUGGUGAAGGAAAUAUGCUCUAGAGGCAAUAAUAAAGUUAUUAUUUAUUUCCUCA